GCCUACGGGCGGCAGCAGUGGGGAAUAUUGGACAAUGGGCGAAAGCCUGAUCCAGCAAUGCCGCGUGAGUGAUGAAGGCCUUAGGGUUGUAAAGCUCUUUUACCAGGGAUGAUAAUGACAGUACCUGGAGAAUAAGCUCCGGCUAACUCCGUGCCAGCAGCCGCGGUAAUACGGAGGGCGCUAGCGUUGUUCGGAAUUACUGGGCGUAAAGCGUGCGUAGGCGGCUAUUCAAGUCAGAGGUGAAAGCCUGGAGCUCAACUCCAGAACUGCCUUUGAAACUAGAUAGCUAGAAUCUUGGAGAGGUGAGUGGAAUUCCGAGUGUAGAGGUGAAAUUCGUAGAUAUUCGGAAGAACACCAGUGGCGAAGGCGACUCACUGGACAAGUAUUGACGCUGAGGUACGAAAGCGUGGGGAGCAAACAGGAUUAGAUACCCCGGUAGUCC
rnacentral:rRNA from 1 species